GACGAACGCUGGCGGCGUGCUUAACACAUGCAAGUCAAACGGUAAGGCCCUUCGGGGUACACGAGUGGCGAACGGGUGUGUAACACGUGGGUGAUCUGCCCUGCACUUCGGGAUAAGCCUGGGAAACUGGGUCUAAUACCGGAUAGGACCCUGGGAUGCAUGUCCUGGGGUGGAAAGCUUUUGCGGUGUGGGAUGGGCCCGCGGCCUAUCAGCUUGUUGGUGGGGUGAUGGCCUACCAAGGCGACGACGGGUAGCCGGCCUGAGAGGGUGACCGGCCACACUGGGACUUAGAUACGGCCCAGACUCCUACGGGAGGCAGCAGUGGGGAAUAUUGCACAAUGGGCGCAAGCCUGAUGCAGCGACGCCGCGUGAGGGAUGACGGCCUUCGGGUUGUAAACCUCUUUCAGCACCGACGAAGCGCAAGUGACGGUAGGUGCAGAAGAAGGACCGGCCAACUACGUGCCAGCCGCCGCAGUAA
rnacentral:rRNA from 1 species